rnacentral:lncRNA from 1 species
GUGAGAAAUAUACUAAACGAAAAUUUAGAGGUGGAAGGUCGGCCAAAUAAAAAAUAUAAAACUAUUUUGAAGGUGUAAAGCAAAAAAUGCAAUUAAGGAUUAAAUUAAAAUAGGUAUAAAAUAAUUAGUAUUCAGAGCUAUUAUGCUAAGGUAUAAAAAAUAAAAAUAUAAGAUGUGAAAAGUGGGAAAUAUACUAAACGAAAAUUUAGAGGUGGAAGGUCGGCCAAAUAAAAAAUAUAAAAUUAUUUUGAAGGUGUAAAGCAGAAAAUGCAAUUAAGGAUUAAAUUAAAAUAGGUAUAAAAUAAUUAGUAUUCAGAGCUAUUAUGCUAAGGUAUAAAAAAUAAAAAUAUAAGAUGUGAAAAGUGGGAAAUAUACUAAACGAAAAUUUAGAGGUGGAAGGUCGACCAAACAAAACAUAUAAAAUUAUUUUCAAGGUGUAAAGCAGAAAAUGCAAUUAAGGAUUAAAUUAAAAUAGGUAUAAAAUAAUUAGUAUUCAGAGCUAUUAUGCUAAGGUAUAAAAAAUAAAAAUAUAAGAUGUGAAAAGUGGGAAAUAUACUAAACGAAAAUUUAGAGGUGGAAGGUCGGCCAAAUAAAAAAUAUAAAAUUAUUUUGAAGGUGUAAAGCAGAAAAUGCAAUUAAGGAUUAAAUUAAAAUAGGUAUAAAAUAAUUAGUAUUCAGAGCUAUUAUGCUAAGGUAUAAAAAAUAAAAAUAUAAGAUGUGAAAAGGGAGAAAUAUACUAAACGAAAAUUUAGAGGUGGAAGGUCGGCCAAAUAAAUAAUAUAAAAUUAUUUUGAAGGUGUAAAGCAGAAAAUGCAAUUAAGGAUUAAAUUAAAAUAGGUAUAAAAUAAUUAGUAUUCAGAGCUAUUAUGUUAAGGUAUAAAAAAUAAAAAUAUAAGAUGUGAAAAGUGAGAAAUAUACUAAACGACAAUUUAGAGGUGGAAGGUCGGCCAAAUAAAAAAUAUAAAAUUAUUUUGAAGGUGUAAAGCAGAAAAUGCAAUUAAGGAUUAAAUUAAAAUAGGUAUAAAAUAAUUAGUAUUCAGAGCUAUUAUGCUAAGGUAUAAAAAAUAAAAAUAUAAGAUGUGAAAAGUGCGAAAUAUACUAAACGAAAAUUUAGAGGUGGAAGGUCGGCCAAAUAAAAAAUAUAAAACUAUUUUGAAGGUGUAAAGCAGAAAAUGCAAUUAAGGAUUAAAUUAAAAUAGGUAUGAAAUAAUUAGUAUUCAGAGCUAUUAUGCUAAGGUAUAAAAAAUAAAAAUAUAAGAUGUGAAAAGUGAGAAAUAUACUAAACGAAAAUUUAGAGGUUGAAGGUCGGCCAAAUAAAAAAAUAUAAAUUUAUUUUGAAGGUGUAAAGCAGAAAAUGCAAUUAAGGAUUAAAUUAAAAUAGGUAUAAAAUAAUUAGUAUUCAGAGCUAUUAUGCUAAGGUAUAAAAAAUAAAAAUAUAAGAUGUGAAAAGUGAGAAAUAUACUAAACGAAAAUUUAGAGGUGGAAGGUCGGCCAAAUAAAAAAUAUAAAAUUAUUUUGAAGGUGUAAAGCAGAAAAUGCAAUUAAGGAUUAAAUUAAAAUAGGUAUAAAAUAAUUAGUAUUCAGAGCUAUUAUGCUAAGGUAUAAAAAAUAAAAAUAUAAGAUGUGAAAAGUGAGAAAUAUACUAAACGAAAAUUUAGUGGAAGGCCGGCCAAAUAAAAAAAUAUAAAAUUAUUUUGAAGGUGUAAAGCAGAAAAUGCAAUUAAGGAUUAAAUUAAAAUAGGUAUAAAAUAAUUAGUAUUCAGAGCUAUUAUGCUAAGGUAUAAAAAAUAUAAGAUGUGAAAAGUGAGAAAUAUUCUAAACGAAAAUUUAGAGGUGGAAGGUCGGCCAAAUAAAAAAUAUAAAAUUAUUUUGAAGGUGUAAAGCAGAAAAUGCAAUUAAGGAUUAAAUUAAAAUAGGUAUAAAAUAAUUAGUAUUCAGAGCUAUUAUGCUAAGGUAUAAAAAAUAAAAAUAUAAGAUGUGAAAAGUGAGAAAUAUACUAAACGAAAAUUUAGUGGAAGGCCGGCCAAAUAAAAAAAUAUAAAAUUAUUUUGAAGGUGUAAAGCAGAAAAUGCAAUUAAGGAUUAAAUUAAAAUAGGUAUAAAAUAAUUAGUAUUCAGAGCUAUUAUGCUAAGGUAUAAAAAAUAAAAAUAUAAGAUGUGAAAAGUGAGAAAUAUUCUAAACGAAAAUUUAGAGGUGGAAGGUCGGCCAAAUAAAAAAUAUAAAAUUAUUUUGAAGGUGUAAAGCAGAAAAUGCAAUUAAGGAUUAAAUUAAAAUAGGUAUAAAAUAAUUAGUAUUCAGAGCUAUUAUGCUAAGGUAUAAAAAAUAAAAAUAUAAGAUGUGAAAAGUGAGAAAUAUACUAAACGAAAAUUUAGUGGAAGGCCGGCCAAAUAAAAAAUAUAAAAUUAUUUUGAAGGUGUAAAGCAGAAAAUGCAAUUAAGGAUUAAAUUAAAAUAGGUAUAAAAUAAUUAGUAUUCAGAGCUAUUAUGCUAAGGUAUAAAAAAUAAAAAUAUAAGAUGUGAAAAGUGAGAAAUAUACUAAACGAAAAUUUAGUGGAAGGCCGGCCAAAUAAAAAAUAUAAAAUUAUUUUGAAGGUGUAAAGCAGAAAAUGCAAUUAAGGAUUAAAUUAAAAUAGGUAUGAAAUAACUAGUAUUCAGAGCUAUUAUGCUAAGGUAUAAAAAAUAAAAAUAUAAGAUGUGAAAAGUGAGAAAUAUACUAAACGAAAAUUUAGUGGAAGGCCGGCCAAAUAAAAAAUAUAAAAUUAAUUUGAAGGUGUAAAGCAGAAAAUCCAAUUAAGUAUUAAAUUAAAAUAGGUAUAAAAUAAUUAGUAUUCAGAGCUAUUAUACUAAGGUAUAAAAAAUAAAAAUAUAAGAUGUGAAAAGUGAGAAAUGUACUAAACGAAAAUUUAGAGGUGGAAGGUCGGCCAAAUAAAAAAUAUAAAAUUAUUUUGAAGGUGUAAAGCAGAAAAUGCAAUUAAGGAAUAAAUUAAAAUAGGUAUAAAAUAAUUAGUAUUCAGAGAUAUUAUGCUAAGGUAUAAAAAAUAAAAAUAUAAGAUGUGAAAAGUGAGAAAUAUACUAAACGAAAAUUUAGAGAUGGAAGGUCGGCCAAAUGAAAAAAUAUAAAAUUAUUUUGAAGGUGUAAAGCAGAAAAUGCAAUCAAGGAAUAAAUUAAAAUAGGGAUAAAAUAAUUAGUAUUCAGAGCUAUUAUGCUAAGGUAUAAAAAAUAAAAAUAUAAGAUGUGAAAAGUGAGAAAUAUACUAAACGAAAAUUUGGAGGUGAAAGGUCGGCCAAAUAAAAAAUAUAAAAUUAUUUUGAAGGUGUAAAGCAGAAAAUGCAAUUAAGGAAUAAAUUAAAAUAGGUAUAAAAUAAUUAGUAUUCAGAGCUAUUAUGCUAAGGUAUAAAAAAUAAAAAUAUAAGAUGCGAAAAGUGAGAAAUAUACUAAACGAAAAUUUAGAGGUGGAAGGUCGGCCAAAUAAAAAAUAUAAAACUAUUUUGAAGGUGUAAAGCAGAAAAUGCAAUUAAGGAAUAAAUUAAAAUAGGGAUAAAAUAAUUAGUAUUCAGAGCUAUUAUGCUAAGGUAUAAAAAAUAAAAAUAUAAGAUGUGAAAAGUGAGAAAUAUACUAAACGAAAAUUUAGAGGUUGAAGGUCGGCCAAAUAAAAAAAAUACAAAAUUAUUUUGAAGGUGUGAAGUAAAAAAUGCAGUUAAGGAAUAAAUUAAAAUAGGUAUAAAAUAAUUAGUAUUCAGAACUAUUAUGCUAAGGUAUAAAAAAUAAAAAUAUAAGAUGUGAAAAGUGAGAAAUAUACUAAACGAAAAUUUAGAGGUUGAAGGUCGGCCAAAUAAAAAAAUAUAAAAUUAUUUUGAAGGUGUGAAGCAAAAAAUGUAAUUAAGGAAUAAAUUAAAAUAGGGACAAAAUAAUUAGUAUUCAGAGCUAUUAUGCUAAGGUAUAAAAAAAAUAAAAAUAUAAGAUGUGAAAAGUGAGAAAUAUACUAAACGAAAAUUUAGAGGUGGAAGGUCGGCCAAAUGAAAAAAUACAAAAUUAUUUUGAAGGUGUGAAGCAAAAAAUUUAAUUAAGGAAUAAAUUAAAAUAGGGAAAAAAUAAUUAGUAUUCAGAGCUAUUAUGCUAAGGUAUAAAAAAUAAAAAUAUAAGAUGUGAAAAGUGAGAAAUAUACUAAACGAAAAUUUAGAGGUGGAAGGUCGGCCAAAUGAAAAAAUACUAAAUUAUUUUGAAGGUGUGAAGCAAAAAAUGUAAUUUAGGAAUAAAUUAAAAUAGGGACAAAAUAAUUGGUAUUCAGAGCUAUUAUGCUAAGGUAUAAAAAAUAAAAUAUAAGAUGUGAAAAGUGAGAAAUAUACUAAACGAAAAUUUAGAGAUGGAAGGUCGGCCAAAUAAAAAAUAUAAAAUUAUUUUGAAGGUGUAAAGCAGAAAAUGCAAUCAAGGAAUAAAUUAAAAUAGGGAUCAAAUAAUUAGUAUUCAGAGCUAUUAUGCUAAGAUAUAAAAAAUAAAAAUAUAAGAUUUAGAGGUUGAAGGUCGGCCAAAUAAAAAAAUAUAAAAUUUUUUUGAAGGUGUAAAGAGAAAAUGCAAUUAAGGUAUAAAUUAAAAAAAGCUAUAAAUUAUUAGUAUUCACAGUUAUUGUGCUUAUGUAGAAAAAUAAAAUAAAAGAUUUGAAAAGUGUAUUUUAGGAUUACAUUUACUAAACGAAAAUUUAGAGGUGGACGGUCGGCAAAAAAAUAUUAAAUUAUUUUGAAGGUGUGAAGCAGAAAAUGCCAGUAAAGGUAUAAAUUAAAAAAAAAUAUAAAUUAUUAUCAAAGCAAAACCUUUGCAGGCGGGUAAAAGGACAAUAACUCACAAUUUUUAAGUUGUAUAAUUUAAAUUUUAAUGCUUAAAAAAGCAAGGGGGGCGACAUGUUUCGGAAAUUUAGACUAUUCCCAUCAUAAGAACGUUUAGAGUUUUUAUAAAUUAUUAGUAUUCAGUUAUUGUGCUUAGUUUUAAAAAAUAAAAUAAAAACUUUAAAAGUAAGAUUUUAGGAAUUAUAUUUACUGAACGAAAGUUUAGAGGUGGAAGGUCGGCCAAGUAUAAAAAUAUAAAAUUAUUUUGAAGGUGUAAAGCAGAAAAUGCAAUUAAGGUAUAAAUUAAAAAAAAACUAUAAAUUAUUAGUAUUCACAGGUAUUGUGCUAAGGUAUAAUAAAUAAAAUAAAAGAUUUGAAAAGUGUAUUUUAGGAUUACAUUUACUAAACCAAAAUUUAGGGGUGGACGGUCGGCAAAAAAAUAUAAAAUUAUUUUGAAGGUGUAAAGCAGAAAAUGCAGUAUAGGUAUAAAUUAAAAAAAACUAUAAAUGAUUAGUAUUCAGUUAUUGUGCUUAGUUUUAAAAAAUAAAACUUUAAAAGUAAGAUUUUAGGAAUUAUAUUUACUGAACGAAAAUUUAGAGGUGGAAGGUCGGCCAAAUAUAAAAAUAUAAAAUUAUUUUGAAGAUGUAAAGCAGAAAAUGCAAUUAAGGAAUAAAUUGAAAUAGGUAUAAAAUAAUUAGUAUUCAGAGCUAUUUCCUUAAGUAUAAGAAAUAAAAAUAUAAGAUGUGAAAAGUGGGAAAUAUACUAAACGAAAAUUUAGGGGUGGAAGGUCGGCCAAAUGAAAAAAUAUAAAAUUAUUUUGAAGGUGUAAAGCAGAAAAUGCAAUUAAGGCAUAAAUUUAAAAAAUAUAUAAAUUAUUAGUAUUCACAGUUUUUGUGCCAAGCUAUAAAAAAUAAAAAGUUUUAAAAGUAAGAUUUUAGGAAUUACGUUUACUAAACGAAAAUUUAGAAGUAUGUAGAAGGUCGUUCAAAAAAAUGUUUAAAAUUUUGAUAUAUAUAUAAGGUGUAAAGCAGAAAAUAACAAGAAAAGAUAUGUAUAAGGUGUAAAGCAGAAAAUACAAUUACGUUAUAAAGUAUAAAAGCUCUAAAUUAUUCGUAUUCACAGUUAUUGUGCUAAGGUAUAAAAAAUAAAAUAAAAGAUUUGAAAAGUGUAUUUUAGGAUUACAUUUACUAAACGAAAAUUUAGAGGUGGAAGGUCGGCCAAAAAAAUAUAAAAUGAUUUUGAAGAUGUGAAGCAAAAAAAUGCAAUUAAGGAAUAAAUUAAAAUAGAUAUAAAAUAAUUAGUAUUCAGAACUAUUGUAAUAAAAUAAAAAUAUAAGAUGUUAAAAGUGACAAAUAAUAUAUAUACUAAACGAAAAUUUAGAGUUGGAAGGUCGGUCAAAAAAUAUAUAAAACUACUUUGAAGGUGUAAAGCAAAAAAUGAAAUUAAGGCAUAAAUUUAAAAAAUAUAAAAAUUACUAUUAUUAGUAUUCACAGUUAUUGUGCUAAGGUAUUAAAAAUAAAAUAAAAAAUUUGAAAAGUAAGAUUUUUGGAAUUAUAUUAUAUAGGUCCGCAAAAAAAAAUAUUUUGAAAGUGUAAAGAAAAAAAAAAGAAUAAAACAUAAAAAAGCUAUUAAUUAUGAUUAUUGUUUAGUUUUAGGAAUUACAUUUUUUACUAAACGAAAAUUUAGAAGUGCAAAAAAACUAUUUUGAGAGUGUAUAGCAAAUAAACUUAAUUAAGUUAUCAAAAUAAACAUAAAACAUGUGAAAAGUGAGUUUUAGGAAUUAAGUUUACUGAACGAUAAUUUAGGUUGGCCAAAUAAAAAUAAACUAUUUUGAAAGUGUAAAGCAAAAAACGUAAUUAAGGUAUAAAUUAAAAAAGGUAUUAAUUAUUAGUUUUCGGAAUUAUUGUGCUGAAGUAUAAAAAUAAAAAUAAAAGAUGUGAGAAGUGAGUUUUAGGAAUUACAUUUACUAAAUAAAAAUUUA